CGAUGAUGCCCAGCUUGCUGGGCGGAUUAGUGGCGAACGGGUGAGUAAUACGUGAGUAACCUGCCCUUGACUCUGGGAUAAGCCUGGGAAACUGGGUCUAAUACUGGAUACUACCUCUUGCCGCAUGGUGGGUGGUGGAAAGGGUUUUACUGGUUUUGGAUGGGCUCACGGCCUAUCAGCUUGUUGGUGGGGUAAUGGCUCACCAAGGCGACGACGGGUAGCCGGCCUGAGAGGGUGACCGGCCACACUGGGACUGAGACACGGCCCAGACUCCUACGGGAGGCAGCAGUGGGGAAUAUUGCACAAUGGGCGGAAGCCUGAUGCAGCGACGCCGCGUGAGGGAUGACGGCCUUCGGGUUGUAAACCUCUUUCAGUAGGGAAGAAGCGAGAGUGACGGUACCUGCAGAAGAAGCGCCGGCUAACUACGUGCCAGCAGCCGCGGUAAUACGUAGGGCGCAAGCGUUGUCCGGAAUUAUUGGGCGUAAAGAGCUCGUAGGCGGUUUGUCGCGUCUGCUGUGAAAGCCCGGGGCUCAACCCCGGGUCUGCAGUGGGUACGGGCAGACUAGAGUGCAGUAGGGGAGACUGGAAUUCCUGGUGUAGCGGUGAAAUGCGCAGAUAUCAGGAGGAACACCGAUGGCGAAGGCAGGUCUCUGGGCUGUUACUGACGCUGAGGAGCGAAAGCAUGGGGAGCGAACAGGAUUAGAUACCCUGGUAGUCCAUGCCGUAAACGUUGGGCACUAGGUGUGGGGGACAUUCCACGUUUUCCGCGCCGUAGCUAACGCAUUAAGUGCCCCGCCUGGGGAGUACGGCCGCAAGGCUAAAACUCAAAGGAAUUGACGGGGGCCCGCACAAGCGGCGGAGCAUGCGGAUUAAUUCGAUGCAACGCGAAGAACCUUACCAAGGCUUGACAUUCACCGGACCGCCCCAGAGAUGGGGUUUCCCUUCGGGGCUGGUGGACAGGUGGUGCAUGGUUGUCGUCAGCUCGUGUCGUGAGAUGUUGGGUUAAGUCCCGCAACGAGCGCAACCCUCGUUCUAUGUUGCCAGCACGUGAUGGUGGGGACUCAUAGGAGACUGCCGGGGUCAACUCGGAGGAAGGUGGGGAUGACGUCAAAUCAUCAUGCCCCUUAUGUCUUGGGCUUCACGCAUGCUACAAUGGCCGGUACAAAGGGUUGCGAUACUGUGAGGUGGAGCUAAUCCCAAAAAGCCGGUCUCAGUUCGGAUUGAGGUCUGCAACUCGACCUCAUGAAGUCGGAGUCGCUAGUAAUCGCAGAUCAGCAACGCUGCGGUGAAUACGUUCCCGGGCCUUGUACACACCGCCCGUCAAGUCACGAAAGUUGGUAACACCCGAAGCCGGUGGCCUAACCCCUUGUGGGAGGGAGCCGUCGAAGGUGGGACUGGCGA
rnacentral:rRNA from 1 species